GACGAACGCUGGCGGCGUGCCUAAUACAUGCAAGUCGAGCGAAGUUUUUCUGGUGCUUGCACUAGAAAAACUUAGCGGCGAACGGGUGAGUAACACGUAAAGAACCUGCCUCAUAGACUGGGACAACUAUUGGAAACGAUAGCUAAUACCGGGUAACAGCAUUAACUGCAUGGUUGAUGUUUAAAAGUUGGUUUUGCUAACACUAUGAGAUGGCUUUGCGGUGCAUUAGCUAGUUGGUGGGGUAAAGGCCUACCAAGGCGACGAUGCAUAGCCGACCUGAGAGGGUGAUCGGCCACACUGGGACUGAGACACGGCCCAGACUCCUACGGGAGGCAGCAGUAGGGAAUCUUCCGCAAUGGGCGAAAGCCUGACGGAGCAACGCCGCGUGAGUGAAGAAGGAUUUCGGUUCGUAAAGCUCUGUUGUUAGGGAAGAAUGAUUGUGUAGUAACUAUACACAGUAGAGACG
rnacentral:rRNA from 1 species